AUGACUGUCACUCAAAACACUGUGAAGAAGAAUCACUACUACUUGCAUGAACUCUUCGACCACACUUGGGCUAUUCUGUCUCACCUGUAUGGUGAUGAAGAUCUCAAGCAGAUGGGCUUCCAACAGGACUUCGACUGGUCUCGGCCUCCUUCAAAGAAAUUCAAGAAGGCCAAAGUUCCUCAGCUGCUCACAAGUUCAUAUUCUUCAUCGCGAUACAUGGAUGAAGCUGAAGAUUUGAACGACACUGCGGCAAGCCCUACCUCAAUGGACGACCCCAACAACGCUGGCACUCCUCCAUCGACAUCAUGA
rnacentral:rRNA from 1 species